rnacentral:lncRNA from 1 species
GCGGGUAUAUAGAUUUACAAAUUAAAGUGCACAUAUGGUCAGUUUUGGUCAAUGCGGUCAAAUAAUUUUGUUGUACAAGUCAGCAUGAGGUAUCAAAACUACUGAAAUUUUGUUACGUAUCAGUAUUUUGAGUAAAAAGAGGACAUGCUGGCACCCUAAAUUUAUGCGAACAAAAAUUUGUUCUUAUUAUAUUGCAAUAUUGCU